GGACCUCCCGCCAUUUGAUUAGCCCAAGUGAGAUUAGCUAGUUGGUGAGGUAAUGGCUCACCAAGGCGACGAUCUCUAGCUGGUUUGAGAGGAUGAUCAGCCACACUGGGACUGAGACACGGCCCAG
rnacentral:rRNA from 1 species